GCUGAUAUGGCCGAGUCGUUAAGGCGAGUGAUUUGAAUUUAGGUUCCAUUAUCACUUGGGCAUUGCCCGCGUAGGUUCAAAUCCUGCUGUCAGCG